CCAGGGCUCUGGCUUCUUCUGGGGUCAGGCCGCUCUUCAGGGUUCUUCGCACUGCAGUGGUGGUGCAGGUCACACCCAAAGGGAUGAGAAGAAAAGGAAGUAUGAGCAGCAAGGCACAGGGCAGUCAAGACUCCAGUCCCCCCUUCUCCCCAGGGACUUCCAGAGAAGCCAGAGGGUUCACACUCUGUACCUUCCUGCUCUUGCUGAAGUGCCCUGCAGUCUGUCUGCCAGGACAAAAGUUUGGGGCUACACAGGCUGGCCUAACAAUGCCACAGGUGCUGAUUUGGAGGGCCGAGAGGAGUGAUGCGGGCACUUAUAAAGAGGAGAGAAAGGAGGAGAGGCUCACCCUCACGAGGCUUCUGAGAAGGGGGUGAACUGCAGAAGUGCAGAGGGCAGGAGAGACCUCAGCAUCUACCCAGUAUGAGGAGUGUAUCAGAGCUGGGAAGGUGAUUCCAGAGCAGGGGAAAAUGCAAGCUCCACUAAUACAAAUGAGGUGAGGCAACCAGUGCACAGCGAGGGGUUCCACAAGACCCAACAACCUCACAAAUCCAACAGACGACCAACAAUAGCUGGGGACAUGCUCAAGACCCACAGAGCAAGUGCAUGAAGCCAGGGCAAGGGGCAGCAGUGAGGACAAAUCUCUCCAUGAGUACUGUGGGUCUUAGCCUCAACUCACUAAAAGGCCUCUAGAGACAAUAAUUAAAAUAACCAGUGGCUCCUCGAGGAAUGGAGGCUAAGGAGCAAACUGCCAAACUUAUUCUGGCUGGAAUUGGUGGCUGUUUUCUAUGGAACACACAAGACUCAAGAAUGGCCAAUGACCACUCUCACUGGGGGGUUGCAGUUGGCAACUGGAGGGAUGCUCAUAUUUAACUGACUUAGAAUUGGCUUGUGUUUAGCUUGGCAUGAUGGUAUUCCCAUUGUUUAGUAUUUCAAUUUCAACAUCAAAAUAAAGGCUGGAUAAGGGUGAAUGAGGAGGUAGCUGCCUCACCCAAGACAAGUCUUCAUUUGAAAGGGUGGCUAAUUACAUUUUCCUUAAUUUACAAAUUGUAUUUGACCCACUGUGUAUUUCUUUAAAGUUCGCACAGAGUUUGGGGUAUUCAUUUUCAGAAGAGAAACGUUAUGGAUCUGCCUUCACCCUAAAUCCCUAAAUCAGCCAGAGUUCCUGAGAUGACCAGGGCAGGCUGUUGAUCAAAGUUCAGAGAAAGAAUCAGCACUUGGAACAGGGGUCAACAUAAUAUCCAUCAAUUGGUCAACCAACAAAUGAUUUAUUGAGAACCCAUUGUGUGCUCAGCAUUUAACUCAAAGAAUCAAAACACAGACAUCAAGUAUGGGUUUUUAGAGAGACAUGGGAUAUGUGGUGAGGGGUUCUCUCAAAUCGUGUUACUGCAACUACUGUAUUUCCAAGCCUACCUUUGGGCCCUGAAGCAAUCUAUCUGUAGCUGUUCUUGCACUAGCUCCUCUUUCCCCCACCCCUGAUCCCUUGGCCUCCAGACUGAAUGUUUGGCUCAACAAGACAAAAUGUUUGGCUCCUAAGUCUCAGCUGGAGACAGAUUACAUUCAACUGAGCAACAGAAUUUGUUCUAUGGGGCAGCAAUAAAAAUACUAGUUUGUAAUAACCUUUUAUGUUCUUUAAAGACUCCUUAGAGUGUUUGUUAAAGAAAGAUAAUUUUAACAACAGUAAAUAAGAUAAAAUAUCUCUCUUGACAAGAAAGACCUCUUGCUGCAACUUCUUAACCAAGAUACAAAAUACUUCCUUAAAAAGUCCAUGCUGGCCGGGCACAGUGGCUCACACCUGUAAUCCCAGCACUUUGGGAGGCUGAGGCAGGUGGAUCACUUGAGGUCAGCAGCUUGAGACCAACAUGGUGAAACUCCAUCUCUACUAAAAAUACAAAAAUUAGCCAGACAUGGUGGCACACAUCUGUAGUCCCAGCUACUCGGGAAGCUGAUGCAGAGAAUUGCUUGAACCUGGGAGGCGGAGGUUGCGGUGAGCCGAGAUGGUGCCACUGCACUCCAGCCUGGGUGACAGAGCGAGGCCCCAUCUCAAAAAAAAAAAAAAAAAAAAAAGAAAAAGAAGAAGAAGUAGUUCAUGCUGCACUAGCUGGGCAUCUUAAAAUUUCACCAGCCACAGAAGGUGGUGUGGACAUCAGUCUAUGAAUCUUUGUCCAUUUAGGUAUAUAUUGUGGCUGAAUGACUACAGAAGACCCCACAGAUAUUUUACCCAUGAAGGUAUUUAAAGAUGCUUAACAAUUCUGUUUGCACAUUUGCUUUAGUCCUGUAACUGCUCAGUUCAGUUGAUAUAAAUAUUAAUACUCGAAUAAGGGCCCGGUCACCUUACAGCUCAUGUAACAAUCUUUUAAUAGCUUCGGACAUUGAGCCAGCCUAUCUGGGACAGGCUCAGAGAACAGAACUAAAGGUACCUUUAUGGGUCUUGCUACCUGACAGCACAGAGCCUGUGCCCUCUCCCUCGUGGGUCUACUCAUGGUUUGGAUAUUCCAGACCCCUUGGGAUGCUGCUUCACCCUCUGGUCUGGGCUCAUGUGUCCUCUGCUGUGAGGGAAAAGCCAACAUAGGCUUCAUUCCCUUAGCUUGCCAGAUGUAUCCCUGAAAAGCGAGUAUUCAUGGAAAAGUCUUCCCCAUUUAUGAAAUUCUACUUUCUGUGGACCUCCAUGGCAAUUUGAAAAAAAUUCUCUUAGAUAUAUGUUAUCCCCUUGGUGUAAUGAAAAAUACCUGAGAAUCUGAAACCUUCCCUUUGUUAGCCAAAGUUAAUUCACCUCACCACUUGAAAGACCACGUGAAAUGAAAGUAAUCAGCUAAAAUCAGUCUUACACCCAAUUCAAGUCACACGCGACAAGAGCCCCUUUGGGUGUUUGGUCAACCAUCUGUCUGCUGGUCAGUUUCUUUGCCAUUCAUCAAACAUCAUGUACAUGUACACCCUGAGCCUCUGCGAUGGGAGCCUCUGGGGAGAAAGGCAGGGGCCUGAUGGGGACACAGUGUGGGGAGAAACACUCAGGGCAGCAGAUGGGGUCCAGCCAGGGAGCUGGCUCUCAGAAAGUUUCCAGAAAGCAAAAAAAAAAAAAAGGCUGGGGACAUAAGAGAACAAAACAAGGGGGCCAGCAAACAGGUGCUGGCAGGGUAUGAAAUGGUACACAGCAAACUUCCACAGCAGAAACAACUCUGCCACCCAGUAGAGAGGCUUCUCCAGCACUGUGGCAAGGUCGGCUGGCUGCGGAUGACACCUGGGCCUCUCCCGACUCCUCAUUUCCACUUCCCACUCAAAUGCUCCAGCUGAAUCAAAGCUGCUCUCCAGCCUUUCCCACGGGACGGCCUCCCCUCAAAGCUCAUAACAGAGAACAGACUGGAAAUGUUUAUCCCUGUCUGCCUUGCAACUCUGCCAUAGAUGGCAUGGGUCAC
rnacentral:lncRNA from 1 species